rnacentral:rRNA from 1 species
AUACGGAGGGUGCGAGCGUUAAUCGGAAUUACUGGGCGUAAAGCGCGCGUAGGCGGCCUGAUCAGUCGGAUGUGAAAGCCCUGGGCUCAACCUGGGAAUUGCAUUCGAAACUGUCAGGCUAGAGUAUGGGAGAGGGAAGUGGAAUUUCCGGUGUAGCGGUGAAAUGCGUAGAUAUCGGAAGGAACACCAGUGGCGAAGGCGACUUCCUGGCCCAAUACUGACGCUCAGGUGCGAAAGCGUGGGUAGCGAACAGGAUUAGAUACCCGAGUAGUCC